GGGGUUGUAGCUCAGUGGUAGAGUGCUUGCCUAGCAUGCAGGAGGCCCUGAGUUUGGUCCCCAGCACUACCA
rnacentral:tRNA from 1 species